UACGUAGGGGGCAAGCGUUGUCCGGAAUUAUUGGGCGUAAAGAGCGUGUAGGCGGCCAGGUAGGUCCGUUGUGAAAACUCGAGGCUCAACCUCGAGACGUCGGCGGAAACCCUCUGGCUAGAGUCCGGAAGAGGAGAGUGGAAUUCCUGGUGUAGCGGUGAAAUGCGCAGAUAUCAGGAAGAACACCCGUGGCGAAGGCGGCUCUCUGGGACGGUACUGACGCUGAGACGCGAAAGCGUGGGGAGCAAACAGG
rnacentral:rRNA from 1 species